rnacentral:rRNA from 1 species
UACGUAGGGGGCUAGCGUUGUCCGGAAUCAUUGGGCGUAAAGCGCGUGAAGGCGGUCCGGUAAGUCCGCUGUGAAAGUCGGGGGCUCAACCCUCGGAUGCCGGUGGAUACUGUCGGGCUUGAGUACGGAAGAGGCGAGUGGAAUUCCUGGUGUAGCGGUGAAAUGCGCAGAUAUCAGGAGGAACACCAAUUGCGAAGGCAGCUCGCUGGGACGUUACUGACGCUGAGACGCGAAAGCGUGGGGAGCAAACAGG